rnacentral:rRNA from 1 species
GACAGAGGCCCCGAGCGUUAGGCGGAAUCACUGGGCUUAAAGCGUGUGUAGGCGGACCCCUAAGUGUCUUGUGAAAUCCCACGGCUCACCCGUGGAACCGCUGGGCAUACUGGGGGUCUUGGGCCGUUCAGGGGCGACUGGAACAAGCGGUGGAGCGGUGAAAUGCGUAGAUAUCGCUUGGAACGCCAACGGUGAAAACAGGUUGCUGGGGGUGUGCUGACGCUGAGACACGAAAGCCAGGGGAGCGAACGGG